rnacentral:rRNA from 1 species
AUUGAACGCUGGCGGCAGGCCUAACACAUGCAAGUCGAGCGGAUGAAGGGAGCUUGCUCCUGGAUUCAGCGGCGGACGGGUGAGUAAUGCCUAGGAAUCUGCCUGGUAGUGGGGGAUAACGUCCGGAAACGGGCGCUAAUACCGCAUACGUCCUGAGGGAGAAAGUGGGGGAGCUUCGGACCUCACGCUAUCAGAGGAGCCUAGGUCGGAUUAGCUAGUUGGUGGGGUAAAGGCCUACCAAGGCGACGAUCCGUAACUGGUCUGAGAGGAUGAUCAGUCACACUGGAACUGAGACACGGUCCAGACUCCUACGGGAGGCAGCAGUGGGGAAUAUUGGACAAUGGGCGAAAGCCUGAUCCAGCCAUGCCGCGUGUGUGAAGAAGGUCUUCGGAUUGUAAAGCACUUUAAGUUGGGAGGAAGGGCAGUAAGUUAAUACCUUGCUGUUUUGACGUUACCAACAGAAUAAGCACCGGCUAACUUCGUG